rnacentral:rRNA from 1 species
GACGAACGCUGGCGGCGUGCUUAACACAUGCAAGUCGAACGGAAAGGCCCUGCUUUUGUGGGGUGCUCGAGUGGCGAACGGGGGAGUAACACGUGAGUAACCUGCCCUUGACUUUGGGAUAACUUCAGGAAACUGGGGCUAAUACCGGAUAGGAGCUCCUGCUGCAUGGUGGGGGUUGGAAAGUUUCGGCGGUUGGGGAUGGACUCGCGGCUUAUCAGCUUGUUGGUGGGGUAGUGGCUUACCAAGGCUUUGACGGGUAGCCGGCCUGAGAGGGUGACCGGCCACAUUGGGCCUGAGAUACGGCCCAGACUCCUACGGGAGGGAGCAGUGGGGAAUAUUGCACAAUGGGCGGAAGCCUGAUGCAGCAACGCCGCGUGCGGGAUGACGGCCUUCGGGUUGUAAACCGCUUUCGCCUGUGACGAAGCGUGAGUGACGGUAAUGGGUAAAGAAGCACCGGCUAACUACGUG